AAACACUUCAUCCUGGAGCCCUCGAUAUGAACCAAAUGAUGCACGGAUUCUGCUCCAAGGCUGAGAAUGCAGACUGGCCCUUCCCAGCCAGGUUCUGUAUGUUCUGGAGGGGGGAUGGAAGAAGAGGGGCUUAUGAUAUAUGUCUCUCAGCAAGAAGGAAGAGCAAAGCAGUUGUUUCCUGGAGCCUUGGAGGAGAAAAGUGGCACAGAAUUCACAGCUUCUUCACCUGGGCCUCAAAUGUUCAGUGUGACAAAUGCCAGGAGAUAGGGACAUGGGGAUUAAAAACAAGCAAAAAAAAUCAGUCUUAUUGUCCUAAUUCCCAUUUCAGAAAGCUGGGACAUUCUAGCUAUUUGAAGAGAACAGGCUUUGCCUGCCUCUAAACCAUUGCUGCAACAUGCCUGGCAUUCAUGGUGCUGACAUGGGGACAGCAAGGUGAUAUUGUUCCCUGUCUGGCCAUCCCCUCCUGGCUAUGGUGGUUAAAGCAGAUGCUCUAGAACAGGGGUUGGCAAACCAUGGCCCACAGGUCAAAUGUGGCCCAGGGCCUGUUUCUUGUCUUCUUCUUUCUUUUUUCUUUUUCUUUCUUUCUUUUUCUUCUUCUUCUUCUUCUUCUUCUUCUUCCUCUUCUUCUUCUUCUUCCUUCUUUUUUUUUUUAACUUUUAAGUUCAGGGAUAUAUGUGCAGGUUUGUUACACAGAUGAACUUGUGUCAUGGGGCUU
rnacentral:lncRNA from 1 species